CACAACGCCGCGCCGUCCCAAGGCCGGCGCGCUGUGCAUGUGCCGAGCUAGAUCGACUGUACAUAAGUACAUGUACACAUGUGUACUCGUACAACUACAUGCUGUACUGGUAUCUACCACCACAUAUGCACAAGGCGCGUGGAAUCAUGAACGUGCUUGGCAAGUUAGAAAACAUUGCAUCGCUUUCAGGGCAUCUGGAUCGUGUUUGGCACGUUUCAUGGAGCCCAAGUGGUAAACUUCUAACUAGCUGCAGCGGUGAUAAAACUAUUCGCAUGUGGGGUACGCAGUGGAAUGGUGGACAAGGCGCCCAAGGUAUUGACUGGACAUGUAAAGCAGUUCUUCAAGAUGGCCAUUCUCGUACUGUGCGACGAGUUAGUUGGUCUCCGUGCGGCAGAUUACUAGCGUCUGUAAGCUUUGAUGGCACUACUUGUAUUUGGAGUCAAAAGAAUGCAGAGUUUGAAUGCAUUACUACAUUGGAAGGACAUGAAAAUGAAGUAAAAAGCGUUUGCUGGUCUCCAUCAGGGUCUUUACUUGCAACUUGCAGCAGAGAUAAGAGUGUCUGGAUAUGGGAAGUGGAUCAUGAAGAAGAUGAUUACCAGUGUGUUGGCGUUCUAAGUGUCCACACCCAAGAUGUAAAGAAUGUAUGUUGGCAUCCAUAUAAGGAGAUUCUUGCAUCAUGUAGCUAUGACAGCACCAUCAAAAUGUUCCAUGAAGAAGACGACGACUGGUUCUGUGUUCAUACAUUAGCAGGCCAUGAGUCAACUGUUUGGGGAAUAAGCUUUGAUAAAACGGGAACAAGACUAGCAUCUUGCAGUGAUGACAAGACAGUGAAGAUAUGGCAAGGCUGUCACCCUGAUUGUCAAGAUGGUCUACAGACAAUAGCCCGCUGGAUGGUACCCCCUAACAAUGGCAACAAAGCAGCCUCAUACUACCAAGGUCUAAUCAAUGCGUGUGUUCCAGCGAAGGAAAACUCCAACCGAAGAAUCACUGAGAACAGCCGCUUUAUUCAGCAAGAGUGCGCCACGCUCUUGAGUUGCAAGCUCUCAUGUACUCAGCAGACAACAAGAACAAGAUAAAGGUCGGGGAGCAAACACUGGCUGUUGACCAACAGAUCAAGCUUUCUAAAUUCUUUCCCAUUUGAGAUGUGCCAAACUAUAGUGACCACGAUUUUCCCACACCUGGUCAUCUCAUCAUGCCAUUGUGGGUAUCUGUGUAUGUGGCCAUCCACUGAAAUAAGGACAGAUGACAUUGGCAGAGACCACUUUAUAGAAGGACCGUGCAACUGUCGUCCUCAGAUGUCCCCACUCUUCAUGCUCAGUGGCCACUCACAUGAAUGACAUUGUUGGAGAACUUGUUCUUGCUGAAGAAGUAUCAGCUGGCAAGUCUGGUACCUCUCGUUGACGGAGGAGCUGACGUCAACUACACUGCUAAUGAGAUGUACUAUGCUGAUCUGUUCAGAGGCAGUAACCUAGAUGCCCUGGUGGUGACUUCAUACUACCCGAGGUACUUAGCACUUAAUCCUAUUGAGCAAGUCUGGGCUCCAUGCACAAGGGCGUUAACAUCCGUCAGUCUUUCUGCUGAAAGCUAUGGAGAAGACCAACCACUGACAAGGGAAGAGCUGACUGCAGAGGAGAAGGAAAACACAACUCACCACAUCGUCAACAUAGCCAUGAUGUCGAUCAGAGAUAAUUACUGGUCGGAUGUGACAUUUGCGGGACAGCAAAUCAAAACAGUCGUAAGGGAGAGUGCGUCUGUGGAGCAACCUUACAGUCAUGAAAGCUACAAGGCAACACAUAAGGUGGUCUUGGGGUAGGCAAAGAAACUUAAACAAGAUGAGAGCAGCCAUCAAGAUUAUAUCUUCAUGGUGCAGCACAUGGAUAAGCGUGAGGCAGAAUGAGUAUUUUCACCAAGCGCAUCAAAUCCCCUUGUCUUCACUGCAAGUCACACCGCCCAGUUGCCAAGGAAAUGCUUGCAGGCGUGCGAAGAUUUCCCACACCCAAGCCAUCCACAGACAACUCUGGACAUUUUCAGACUUUCAUGGAGGCUGAGAGUUCAGCCCACAUUCCUCCUUGUGAGCACCUGCCCCUUUUUCAUUUGAAAGGACUCGGUAGGUGUCACGUUUCUUCCUGCAAGUACGUCUUCACGAGUAAAAGGAAGAGGAAGAUCAUCGAAUCAAAUUUCAUUCUAGACAUCAAGUUCUUAGGCUCAAACAGCUAUUUAACAUGCAGGACAGUUUGUGUAUUGAGUGUAUUGAAUGUUUUCUGGAGAGUUAACUCGAACAGAUAACAUUUUAGGAUCUUUAUUGUCCACUUGUGCAAACGAGCAAUCGCAAAGAAUUGAGAAGAAACAUGGCAAAUUUAAGCGAUGAUUUUGAAAUAAAAAAUCCAUGUAAUUCUUUGCCAAAACAGUUUUAAUUUAUAUGUGCAUGUAUUUCACCACAGAGGUGCUUUCUGGACAAACAAUUGAAGGCAGUCACAUUCAAAUAUGUUACAUGACAUGUAACAUUCUGCAAGAAUCAAAAGGUUAUUUUCAUCAGUGUAUAUUUUUUAACAACAGCGAUUGGGAGGUCCAUUCACUUUUAUAUUGAUUGAACAGUUCCAGCCGCAAGAGGUCAAAUGGAAUGAAUAAAUUAAUUGUAAUGUUUUCUCAUUUUGUUAUUUUAUGUCUGGUGUUCUUUAAACAAGCUUUUGUCAUAAUUGUGUUUAUUAACAUUUUGAAUAAUCUGUAUUUAUGUUUUGAUAUAUCAUAUUGUUAUAAAUUAAAUCAUUGCCAUUAAAAACAUAAAAAGUACAAUUUUUUGAAGACCCAACUCACCUGCUGACAUCACAAAUUUCUUUUUUUUUCCAUGUCAAUACGGCUGAAUGUGAUUAAAAUAAAAACUGUAAUAGUUGCUAUCCCCAUGGCAGUUUAAAAAAUCCAGUCAUUUUUAACAAAUACAAUAUAAUCUAACAAAUAAUUAGGCAGAUUAUUACAAUAAUUAUUAAUUAAUAAGUAAUGGAGGCAAGUCAAAGUUAUGUUAGGUUACCAGAAACAGUAUUACCAAGGAGAAUCAUGGGCCUGCUUGGGCCAGCUUCCUGGCUGCUAGCAAGAAUUUUAUUUUUAGAGGUGUGCUUAGUAGAUAUCUCGAUGUAGAUAUCUCCCAGGCCUGCAAUUUUGUUUAGCUUCUUCCACAGUACUUCUAAUCAAUCUUUGACAAAAAAGAAUUAUCCUGCGUAGAAAACCAAAUACAUGUCAAUAUAUAUUUCAGAACCAUGCACCAUUGCAGUUCAGACUGACUGCAUGCAAUUUGCUCUAUCAUACAAUGCAUUUGCGGAACUUGCAAAAAUCUUCAAUCAUUUUUUUAUUCAAAAUAUAUACAUUCAAAAUGUAUAGAUCUCAUAUAUUGGUGAAGUGAUUAUUUCCAACAGCAGAACGAUAGUUGUUUUGAAGAAUCCCACCCAGGAAUGACGACCAUACAGUCACUCACAAUGCAAACUGUCCACUGUUGAGAAUCGCGAACAGCAGAAACUGGGCAAUCAGCUGUUAAAUCGGAUACUUACUGAUGUGUGGUAGCCCUCCACAGUUGUUCAGCUGGCUUCCUUUGUGUAUGCAAAUCGACUGGCUCCGAGAACACGCUAUUGUUUAAGGAACGAUGAUAAUUGUGUUCCUGCCAUUCGCAUGCUGGUGAAUGCUGGAAAAAUAUUUUUAAAAUAUUUUUACGCCUCGUCUUAUGCAUAUUGUAUUCAGUGUUCAAGUGGAAACAUAUACGUGUGCAUGUAGUGAUGGUCAAAAAAAUUGUGCUGCGAUUUUAGCAUUACUUGGAAAUGUUUUAAAGGAUCCCUAUAAUUCUCAGUUUCAGUCUUGUGCGAAAGGAGAGGAUUUUUUUCGCCUUCAUUCAAAUUGAGUUGUGUGAAUAUAUUUUUGAUGUCAAGAGAGACUGUCAGUCACAUAAAUUCUGAAUAGACAUAUAGAAGGGUGUACAGUGAUUUGAUGAAAAGUAAUCUUGAACUGUCGCUUUCAAAUCAAUACCUAUGCAAGUUUCACAAUAAAUUGAUCCAUGCUGAAACGUUUUUACUGUUCUGGUU
rnacentral:misc_RNA from 1 species